UACGUAGGGUGCGAGCGUUGCCCGGAUUUAUUGGGCGUAAAGGGCGCGUAGGUGGUCACGCACGUCCGUUGUGAAAUCGCUCGGCUCAACUGGGCGGGGUCAGCGGAUACGGCGUGGCUGGAGCAAGCUAGGGGGCAAUGGAAUUCCCGGUGUAGUGGUGGAAUGCGUAGAUAUCGGGAGGAACACCAGUGGCGAAGGCGGUUGCCUGGAGCUUUGCUGACGCUGAUGCGCGAAAGCGUGGGGAGCGAUCCGG
rnacentral:rRNA from 1 species